rnacentral:rRNA from 1 species
AAAUUUGGAUUAAUACUCCAUAGUACUAAUGAAUCACCUGGUUUAUUAGUUAAAACUCCGGUGGUAAAAGAUGGGCAUGCGUGUCAUUAGCUAGUUGGUAAGGUAACGGCUUACCAAGGCGAAGAUGACUAGGGGUUCUGAGAGGAAGAUCCCCCACACUGGUACUGAGACACGGACCAGACUCCUACGGGAGGCAGCAGUGAGGAAUAUUGGUCAAUGGGUGAGAGCCUGAACCAGCCAUGCCGCGUGAAGGAAGACUGCCCUAUGGGUUGUAAACUUCUUUUCUGCAGGAAGAAAUCACUCUACGUGUAGGGUGUUGCCGGUACUGCAGGAAUAAGCAUCGGCUAACUCCGUGCCAGCAGCCGCGGUAAUACGGAGGAUGCAAGCGUUAUCCGGAUUUAUUGGGUUUAAAGGGUGCGUAGGCGGGCUUGUAAGUCAGUGGUGAAAUGCUGUGGCUUAACCAUAGAAUUGCCGUUGAAACUGCAAGUCUUGAGUACAGUUGAGGUGGGCGGAAUGAGUAAUGUAGCGGUGAAAUGCAUAGAUAUUACUCAGAACUCCGAUUGCGUAGGCAGCUUGCUAAACUGUAACUGACGCUGAUGCACGAAAGCGUGGGGAGCGAACAGGAUUAGAUACCCUGGUAGUCCACGCUGUAAACGAUGAGCACUGGUUGUCGGCAAUACACCGUCAGCGACUGAGCGAAAGUAUUAAGUGCUCCACCUGGGGAGUACGUCGGCAACGAUGAAACUCAAAGGAAUUGACGGGGGCCCGCACAAGCGGAGGAACAUGUGGUUUAAUUCGAUGAUACGCGAGGAACCUUACCUGGGCUUAAAUGUAGAGUGCAUUGCUUGGAAACAGGCAUUUUCUUCGGAACUCUUUACAAGGUGCUGCAUGGUUGUCGUCAGCUCGUGCCGUGAGGUGUCGGGUUAAGUCCCAUAACGAGCGCAACCCCUAUUGUUAGUUACCAGCACGUAAUGGUGGGGACUCUAGCAAGACUGCCGGUGUAAACCGUGAGGAAGGUGGGGAUGACGUCAAAUCAGCACGGCCCUUAUGUCCAGGGCUACACACGUGUUACAAUGGCAAGUACAA